UGUUUGAUCCUGGCUCAGGAUGAACGCUAGCGGCAGGCUUAAUACAUGCAAGUCGGACGGCAGCACGGGUAGCAAUACCUGGUGGCGAGUGGCGCCACGGGUGCGUAACGCGUAUGCAACCUACCCUUAACUGAGACAUAACCUGGCGAAAGCUGGGCUAAUAUCUCAUGAGGUUAUAGAGGGGCAUCCUGAUAUAAUCAAAGCAGCGAUGUGGUUAAGGAUGGGCAUGCGUCCCAUUAGCUAGUUGGCGAGGUAACGGCUCACCAAGGCGACGAUGGGUAGGGGUUCUGAGAGGAAGGUCCCCCACACUGGUACUGAGACACGGACCAGACUCCUACGGGAGGCAGCAGUAAGGAAUAUUGGGCAAUGGUCGGAAGACUGACCCAGCCAUGCCGCGUGCAGGAAGAAGGCCCUAUGGGUUGUAAACUGCUUUAGCCAGGGGCUAAACCUACCGAUGCGUUGGUAGCUGAAGGUACCUGGAGAAUAAGCAUUCGGCUAA
rnacentral:rRNA from 1 species